GUAGGGACCAAGCGUUGUUCGGAUUUACUGGGCGUAAAGGGCGCGUAGGCGGCUUGACAAGUCACUUGUGAAAUCUCCGGGCUUAACUCGGAACGGCCAAGUGAAACUGUCAUGCUAGAGUGCAGAAGGGGCAAUCGGAAUUCUUGGUGUAGCGGUGAAAUGCGUAGAUAUCAAGAGGAACACCGGUGGCGAAGGCGGCUACCUGGACAGAAACUGACGCUGAGGCGCGAAAGCUAGGGGAGCAAACAGGAUUAGAUACCCUGGUAGUCCUAGCCCUAAACGAUGGAUACUUGGUGUGACUGGGAUUGAAUCCAGUCGUGCCGAAGCUAACGCAUUAAGUAUCCCGCCUGGGGAGUACGGUCGCAAGGCUG
rnacentral:rRNA from 1 species